CCCUUAGAUGUUCUGGGCCGCACGCGCGCUACACUGAUGCAUUCAACGAGCCUAUCCUUGACCGACAGGUCCGGGUAAUCUUUGAACCUGCAUCGUGACGGGGAUAGAUUAUUGCAAUUAUUAAUCUUCAACGAGGAAUGCCUAGUAGGCGCAAGUCAUCAGCUUGCGUCGAUUACGUCCCUGCCCUUUGUACACACCGCCCGUCGCUCCUACCGAUUGGGUGUGCUGGUGAAAUGUUCGGAUCGGCCGUUUGUCGCGGUUUCCGCGUCAUGUGGCUGAGAAGUUCAUUAAACCCUCCCACCUAGAGGAAGGAGAAGUCGUAACA
rnacentral:rRNA from 1 species